CUCCAGGGUUUCCCCUGGGUCAAUUAUUUUUUUCGCCACCUCUUUCGCCAAAACAAUAUAUUUUUCGCCACUUCAUUAUUUUUUUCGCCAAGUAACAUAAAUAUAUUUUUCCUGUUGUGCCCUUUUGUACUAAGAAGUAAUUUUUACAACAAAACAAAAGCUUUUAUCACAUGAAAUUGAUCCCUCAUUUCAUGUGCAGUCAUUACAUUGAAGGGUUACUCUCAUUCGAGGGGUUGUUCCCAGACUUUUGGAUAGAUUUUUUCAUAACGACAGUUUUCUUUUCUUGACCAUCGUAAAUGAAAAAGUUGAGACGUACAACUAUGCUUGAAACACGUGCAUGUGUCACUUAAACGACUUUAUUAAAGUCAAAGGAUAAAAGAAUUAAAGUUUUAAAUCGGAGAUUUUUCUUGCUUUUGAACAAUUUUCGUCACAACAAC
rnacentral:lncRNA from 1 species